GACGAACGCUGGCGGCGUGCCUAAUACAUGCAAGUAGAACGCUGAAGGAGGAGCUUGCUUCUCUGGAUGAGUUGCGCACGGGUGAGUAACGCGUAGGUAACCUGCCUGGUAGCGGGGGAUAACUAUUGGAAACGAUAGCUAAUACCGCAUAAGAUUGACUAUUGCAUGAUAUUCAGUUAAAAGGUGCAAUUGCAUCACUACCAGAUGGACCUGCGUUGUAUUAGCUAGUUGGUGGGGUAACGGCUCACCAAGGCGACGAUACAUAGCCGACCUGGGAGGGGGAUCGGCCACACUGGGACUGGGACACGGCCCAGACUCCUACGGGAGGCAGCAGUAGGGAAUCUUCGGCAAUGGACGGAAGGCUGACCGAGCAACGCCGCGGGAGUGAAGAAGGGUUUCGGAUCGUAAAGCUCUGUUGUAAGAGAAGAACGAGUGUGAGAGUGGAAAGUUCACACUGUGACGGUAUCUUACCAGAAAGGGACGGCUAACUACGUG
rnacentral:rRNA from 1 species